UGCCAUGUUCCAACUCCUUCCAUUUCCAGUCCCUCGCUGUGCCCGGACCCACACCUAAGGAAGCGAGUGCUGUUCCUUGGAAGUUGUCCCAAUGGUCUCCAUUUUAUUGGUAGAUUCUCCUCGGCUCCCGCAGAACGACACCACCCUCCGUCAUCGCUUUUUCAAAUUCCUGGAUCUUGUCACAACGAUGUUCCCAAGGAAUAACAGCUUUGAAGUUCACAAAGUUGAUUCCCGCUUCCAAACAGCGCUGUGCCAUAACACGGCCGAGGUUUCUGCAGGCUGUAACGCCCGUAGGACUGUACAGGUGCUUCUUUAUAGCCCACUCUCGGGUAGAGGCAGAUAACACAACGUUGCCAUUAC
rnacentral:lncRNA from 1 species